CCUUCGUAUCGCUUGUUUACCGCUUUGCCUGCCGUGUCCUCCGCUAUACAAGAAGAAGGGUCAGUGGGCGUUGAACUGGUGGAAGCCAUUAGUGAAGUCAGCAGCGAGCAGAGGGGUGGGAGUUUGCAAAUUUCAGUUCAUGCUCCCACCGUCAGCUCUUUCCGUAAUCCAUGAGCAUAUAACAAUGGAGUAGCUGUUUUUAUCGACUAUCGGAGGUGAUUUAUCGGGAAAGAAAAAG
rnacentral:misc_RNA from 1 species